rnacentral:lncRNA from 1 species
GGGGCUGUCAAAUUGACGUGGGUUGUCAGGUCAUCAGAAUUAACCCAUGUCCUUAGCAGGACAAUGCCCCAGGACGGUCGCACAGUAUGUCCUUGACAUGACAACAGCCCAUAGUGGUUGUACGGCAUUUGGACGGGUUGGCCAACUAUAUGUCGGUAUUCGACUGCCGGAAUGUCGGGUGAUGACUCGAAAACACCGUCGGCUGAUAUGGUGCCUUGUGAAAGUCGGACGUCGGCUGCCACCCCCGACAGUGAGUCGGUGAUAUGGGUUCGACCGUUCGAUCGGUUGGAAAUAGUAUUGGUCUGUUCGGCCGGCAUACCUUCAAUCGGAUAUUAUCGACAGUCAUUGUCGGAGUCGUCUGUCCGUCUGGUGGGUAGAGUCGGGCGUCGGUCGGACCGUUUCGAAAAUAAGUCGGCAUAUAGGGGUCGGUCAGUAUAUCCCAACACCAGACAUAACUCCACAAUUCAUUGGAUUUAUUUUUCAUAUCCAAAUUCUACGUUCCAUGUCUCUCAUAAAACAUAGAAAGUCCUACUUGGUGUCUGUAGGCACUCCAAGAAAGGAAAUGCUACAUCUAGAUUUCCAAUGGGAACUACCAUUUUCAUUUUCUAAAUGCAUCUUGUCUUAAGUAGAUGUACCAACAAUAAAAAUAUCAAAAG